AGAAAAAGCAGGGAAAGGAGACAAAGCAGCAGUAGCAGGAAAAACAGGAAAACCAUGCCGUCAACCACCAAUGGCACAAUCGCCAGCAUCAACAAAAUCGUCGAGACCUGGAUCAGGAAAAUCCAGUAAGACAGGGUCACCAGGCUCACAAUCUCCAACUAAGCCAGAGAAAGCAGGAAAAGUAGGAAAAGCAGAGAAACCAGCUAAACCAGCAAAGCCAGCAAAACCAGAAAAACCACCAA